rnacentral:misc_RNA from 1 species
ACACCUCAACUCUCAUGGUUUGCCAUGAUGAGCUUGGACUCUGGGGGCUUGCUGGCCUAUGGUCAGCUCCUCUAAAAUGGAUCAGCUUACCAGUGUUUGGUGGCACCACAGGUGUGAUAACUAUCUACGCUUGCGGUUUGCCAUCAGGUAACCUUCAGUGAUGGAGGUUCGCUGGGGCUCACAAAUGUCUCUCCUCAGUGGGGACAGCUUUUUUGAAC